rnacentral:rRNA from 1 species
UACGUAGGGGGCGAGCGUUGUCCGGAUUUAUUGGGCGUAAAGAGCUCGUAGGCGGUUUGGUAAGUCGGGUGUGAAAUCUCCACGCUCAACGUGGAGGGGCCACUCGAUACUGCCAUGACUCGAGUCCGGUAGAGGAGUGUGGAAUUCCUGGUGUAGCGGUGGAAUGCGCAGAUAUCAGGAGGAACACCAAUGGCGAAGGCAGCUCGCUGGAACGGUACUGACGCUGAGGCGCGAAAGCGUGGGGAGCAAACAGG